GAUGAACGCUGGCGGCGUGCCUAAUACACGCAAGUCGAGCGAACGGACGAGAAGCUUGCUUCUCUGAUGUUAGCGGCGGACGGGUGAGUAACACGUGGAUAACCUACCUAUAAGACUGGGAUAACUUCGGGAAACCGGAGCUAAUACCGGAUAAUAUUUUGAACCGCAUGGUUCAAAAGUGAAAGACGGUCUUGCUGUCACUUAUAGAUGGAUCCGCGCUGCAUUAGCUAGUUGGUAAGGUAACGGCUUACCAAGGCAACGAUGCAUAGCCGACCUGAGAGGGUGAUCGGCCACACUGGAACUGAGACACGGUCCAGACUCCUACGGGAGGCAGCAGUAGGGAAUCUUCCGCAAUGGGCGAAAGCCUGACGGAGCAACGCCGCGUGAGUGAUGAAGGUCUUCGGAUCGUAAAACUCUGUUAUUAGGGAAGAACAUAUGUGUAAGUAACUGUGCACAUCUUGACGGUACCUAAUCAGGAAGCCACGGCUAACUACGUGCCAGCAGCCGCGGUAAUACGUAGGUGGCAAGCGUUAUCCGGAAUUAUUGGGCGUAAAGCGCGCGUAGGCGGUUUUUUAAGUCUGAUGUGAAAGCCCACGGCUCAACCGUGGAGGGUCAUUGGAAACUGGAAAACUUGAGUGCAGAAGAGGAAAGUGGAAUUCCAUGUGUAGCGGUGAAAUGCGCAGAGAUAUGGAGGAACACCAGUGGCGAAGGCAACUUUCUGGUCUGUAACUGACGCUGAUGUGCGAAAGCGUGGGGAUCAAACAGGAUUAGAUACCCUGGUAGUCCACGCCGUAAACGAUGAGUGCUAAGUGUUAGGGGGUUUCCGCCCCUUAGUGCUGCAGCUAACGCAUUAAGCACUCCGCCUGGGGAGUACGACCGCAAGGUUGAAACUCAAAGGAAUUGACGGGGACCCGCACAAGCGGUGGAGCAUGUGGUUUAAUUCGAAGCAACGCGAAGAACCUUACCAAAUCUUGACAUCCUUUGACAACUCUAGAGAUAGAGCCUUCCUCUUCGGGGGACAAAGUGACAGGUGGUGCAUGGUUGUCGUCAGCUCGUGUCGUGGGAUGUUGGGUUAAGCCCCGCAACGAGCGCAACCCUUAAGCUUAGUUGCCAUCAUUAAGUUGGGCACUCUAAGUUGACUGCCGGUGACAAACCGGAGGAAGGUGGGGAUGACGUCAAAUCAUCAUGCCCCUUAUGAUUUGGGCUACACACGUGCUACAAUGGACAAUACAAAGGGCAGCGAAACCGCGAGGUCAAGCAAAUCCCAUAAAGUUGUUCUCAGUUCGGAUUGUAGUCUGCAACUCGACUACAUGAAGCUGGAAUCGCUAGUAAUCGUAGAUCAGCAUGCUACGGUGAAUACGUUCCCGGGUCU
rnacentral:rRNA from 1 species